UNUGAACUAUUGCUGACACAAAUACAGGCCU
rnacentral:piRNA from 1 species